rnacentral:rRNA from 1 species
AUUGAACGCUGGCGGCAGGCCUAACACAUGCAAGUCGAGCGGUUGCAGGGAUCUUGCUCCCGGCCUCAGCGGCGGGCGGGUGUGUUAUACCGAGGAAUCUCCCUGCUUGGGGGGGAUAACGUCCGGAAAUGGGCGCUUAUACCGUACACGCUCCGAGUGAGAAAGUGGGGGAUCAUCGGAUCUCACGCUAUCAGCUGCCCCUAAGGCGGAUUAGGUAGGUGGUGGGGUAAAGGCCUACCAAGGCGACGAUCCGUAACUGGUCUGAGAGGGUGAUCAGGCAAAAUGGGAACUAGAAAAGGCCCAGAAUCCUAAGGGAGGCAGGAGUGGGGAAUUUUUGACAAUGGGCGCAAGCCUGAUCCAGCCAUGGCGCGUGGAGGAAGAAGGCCUUUGGGUUGGAAAAUGAUUUUGAAUGGAAAGAAAAGGCUUUUAUUAAAACAGGAGGGGUAUGAAGGUACCGAACGAAUAAGCAACGGCUAACUACGUU